GCGCCCGUAGCUCAGCAGGAUAGAGCAUCGGUUUCCUAAACCGGGGGUCGCAGGUUCAAGUCCUGCCGGGCGCACCA
rnacentral:tRNA from 1 species